rnacentral:rRNA from 1 species
UACGUAGGGUGCAAGCGUUGUCCGGAAUUAUUGGGCGUAAAGAGCUUGUAGGCGGUUUGUCGCGUCUGCUGUGAAAUUUCGGGGCUCAACCCCGAACUUGCAGUGGGUACGGGCAGACUAGAGUGUGGUAGGGGAGACUGGAAGUUCCUGGUGUAGCGGUGAAAUGCGCAGAUAUCAGGAGGAACACCGAUGGCGAAGGCAGGUCUCCUGGGCCAGUAACUGACGCUGAGAAGCGAAAAGCAUGGGGAGCGAACAGG